rnacentral:rRNA from 1 species
AAUCAACGCUGGCGGCGUGCCUAACACAUGCAAGUCGAACGAGAAAGUGGAGCAAUCCAUGAGUACAGUGGCGACCGGGUGAGUAACACGUGACUAACCUACCCUAGAGUGGGGAAUAACCUCGGGAAACCGGGGCUAAUACCGCAUAACAUCACGAGGUGUAAAUUCCUUGUGAUCAAAGGAGCAAUUCGCUCAAGGAGGGGGUCGCGGCUGAUUAGCUAGUUGGUGAGGUAACGGCCCACCAAGGCUAAGAUCAGUAUCCGGCCUGAG